rnacentral:lncRNA from 1 species
GAUUCAGGCUCAAAAAAAAAAAAAGUUUAUUUUGAAGAGAGACACUGGCAGUACAGAUGAUGUGUCCGCUUCAUGGUCUUUUCCCAUACUACCUAGAUCUAGUAAAAUGGGCCGUGGCUUUUGGCAUGUAUGUCCAGGUGGGGACAGGCAGAUGGAGGAAAGGUGGGAGAAUGAUGGAAACAGGGAAAGCCUAACUUGUUUUUCUGCCCCCAAGUGUUCAGAUCGCCCCCAAGCUAUGCUAUAAAUCACUGUCACAUUAAGCUUAAAGUACAGCCUGAGCUCUCUUGAUCAAAAACUUGGGUAUAAAAGGAUGUGAAAUUAUGUGGUCCAGUUGCUUCUUGUUACAGAUAUGGAACCUGGGGACCAGUGGGGCAAAGAAGAAUUAACAGCACCUACAUAGCUCUGAUUAUGUCAAGCACUUCGUCUAAAUGUUUGCACAGAUGAACUCAUUUAAGCCCCAGAACAACUCCGUGAGUAACCUUAACAUCUGGACGCAGACAGCCCCAGCAAUCCUGGAGGAAACCUUGGAAAUACGCGGGUCAUCUUCUAUGAAGACCACAGCAGCCCUGAGAAACCAAUACAGCGUUCCAAUCUUUAAAAGAAGAGCCAAACGUCAUGCCUGGAUUAUUCCAGAAUUUUGCUGCUACGAACAAUGCUGCUAAGAUGAGUGUCUUCAAUCACUUGCA